rnacentral:rRNA from 1 species
GACGUAGGGCGCGAGCGUUGUCCGGAUUUAUUGGGCGUAAAGAGCUCGUAGGCGGCUUGUCGCGUCGUCCGUGAAAACUCACAACUCAAUUGUGGGCGUGCGGGCGAUACGGGCAGACUGGAGUACUGCAGGGGAGACUGGAAUUCCUGGUGUAGCGGUGGAAUGCGCAGAUAUCAGGAGGAACACCGGUGGCGAAGGCGGGUCUCUGGGCAGUAACUGACGCUGAGGAGCGAAAGCGUGGGGAGCGAACAGG